rnacentral:lncRNA from 10 species
CGGCUAGUAUCGCGAGAUCAGGAAGGUGGCCGAGUGUGUCGCCGCGGCCAUCAGGGGGGUUAUAGCCAUGUGACUGAUCUUCGUCCAAGAAUAUGUAAAGAAAAAGUGUUGAGUUGGCUUUUAGGGCUAGAGCAAUGUAUCUUAGGCUCACUUAAGGAAGCUGUAGAGAUGAGCCCAAGGAGGGAAACCAGAAGAGCCCCCCAGGCUCACCAGUUGUUUGUUGGCUCCCUACAAACAUGUCAUUCAAGUGGCUAAUCUUACAACAGCACAAAUUCAUCUAACCAGAAAGAGAAGAGGAGGCUCCAAAGGCACUUGACUACUGAGCAUCACCCUGGACGUGUACAAGUCUGCGUCCUUAUUGUUUUCUUCAUUGGGCCGAACUUUCUGGUCCUCAUCCAACAGCUCUUCUAUCACGUGUUCGAAAGUGUCAGCCAAUGAUGUCAAGCCUCUUGAACCUGCCUUGGGCCCAUUCACGCUCUCCAGAGUCCCAUGGGUCCGCACACCUGGAGAUACUCUAUUAUAGCAAAGAAGAAAGAUAAUUUCAUUGAGCCAUCCUGUUUUACAGCACCCAACAGAAUCCCUUCAAAGCCUCGUGGUCUGACACCCUAUGCUACGUGACUUGUGACCCAUCCAUUUGUCAUGUUCUUCGGGAAUGUGGCUAAGGGGCUAAGAUGUGACUUGAAAAGAAAGGUAGAACAAGAUCAUCUCAAAUUUAUUAUCAAGGAAUAGUUCAGAAAACGACUUCAGACCACAGAGACAGCAGAACAGAUGGUCCGGCAUGGAUAGAGCAUCAGACACUCACAGACUGUGCCAACAAGAGCCAUCGAGUCAAAACAGCCAAAGGAAGGAGGGUCAUGGAAUGGGUUCUCUCACACCAAACUGAUGCCCAGAGGCCCUCAGCAUGAAUAACAAAGGCAACCAGACCCACAAGCCAUACUGAGUGGAUACAAAACCUAUACCUAGGCUGACAUCCCAAAUGUGUGUGGCAAGUUAGAUGAUGAUGGCACAAAAGACAGAACACCUUGCUUCUGGCCAUUGUCAGCUCUUGGAAGAGAGCACACUUUUAGAGGAGCAGCUGCAAGGAGCCUGAGAACAAAACUGGAAAUGUCUGUUAUGAAAGCCUUCACAGGAAAUUCUGCAAGUGGCAACGUGGGUCCAUUCCGUGUGUGUCACUAGAGCUGGCGCAAGCCCAUGGCCAUGGUGAGGCAGCGUUUCCACUGGAACUAAUCUGAUACCUGCACCAGCUCUUGCAACUGUGCAGUGUUCCCACUGCAAACUACGGAUGGGGUAAAAGACUGCUCACCUCCUAUUUCUCAUCUAAUCUCACACACUCUGUUUGAUGAGGCUAUGGAGAAACAGGUCUUCUCAUACACUAAAGGUGGGAGUACAAACAAUUCAAGCCCUGUGCAGGACAAUUAGGCAAUACCUAUCAAAAUUAUACAUGAUUUUUCCUGCUGACCCAGCAAUUCCACUUCUGGGAAUAAUUGACAGAUAUAGGUGCAUAUGUACAAAAUGAUGGAAAGCUCUCUGGUAUAUAUUAGUAAGUGAUAAAACAAGGUGUAAAAUAGUGUAUAUAUGGCUACUACCUUUUGUUUUAAAAAUGGGGGAAAAUGGUGGAGCUUGCGGUGAGCCGAGAUCGUGCCACUGCACUCCAGCCUGGGCGACAGAGCGAGACUCCGUCUCAAAAAAAAAACAGGGUGGGGUGGGGGGGAAAUAAUAGUACAUACUCAUAUUUACCUGUAUCUAUAUAAAACACACUAUCAAGGAUUCACAAGAAACUAAUACAAAUGAUCACCUUAUAGAUGGUAUGUAUUGGGGGAUACUGAGGUGAGCAGGGUAUAAGUGGGGCAAGACUUUUCAGUGUAAACUUCUUUUAAAUUUUAUUUUGAUUUUUGAAUAAUGUAAAUUAACUGUCAAAUAAUUAAAUUAAAAAUAACCAAUUUAUUAACAAAA